UACGAAGGGGGCUAGCGUUGUUCGGAAUUACUGGGCGUAAAGGCGCGUAGGCGGCUUUGCAAGUGGCGGGUGAAAUCCCUCGGCUUAACCGAGGAACUGCCUGCCAGACUGUGAGGCUUGAGACCGGGAGAGGUGAGUGGAAUUCCCAGUGUAGCGGUGAAAUGCGUAGAUAUUGGAGGAACACCAGUGGCGAAGGCGGCUCACUGGACCGGAACUGACGCUGAGGCGCGAAGCGUGGGAGCAACAG
rnacentral:rRNA from 1 species